rnacentral:telomerase_RNA from 1 species
UUAGAUAACUGCUCCGUUAUUUGUAUCGCCGUUUAACGUUCAAUCGUUGCGAUGUGCAUCCCCCAACAAAACUAACAAAACCCAAAAGUUUAAAAGGUGAUUUUUGUCCGUAGGUUCAUCUAUAAACAAAAAUGUAACGGACUGCUUACAGCUUUUUUUU